CCUACGGGCGGCAGCAGUGAGGAAUAUUGGUCAAUGGACGAGAGUCUGAACCAGCCAAGUAGCGUGAAGGAUGACUGCCCUAUGGGUUGUAAACUUCUUUUAUAAAGGAAUAAAACGAGGCACGUGUGCCUUUUUGCAUGUACUUUAUGAAUAAGGAUCGGCUAACUCCGUGCCAGCAGCCGCGGUAAUACGGAGAGUCCGAGCGUUAUCCGGAUUGAUUGGGUUUAAAGGGUGCGUAGAUGGGUUGUUAAGUCAGUUGUGAAAGUUUGCGGCUCAACCGUAAAAUUGCAAUUGAUACUGGCAGUCUUGAGUACAGUUGAGGUAGGCGGAAUUCGUGGUGUAGCGGUGAAAUGCUUAGAUAUCACGAAGAACCCCGAUUGCGAAGGCAGCUUACUAAACUGUGACUGACAUUGAUGCUCGAAAGUGUGGGUAUCAAACAGGAUUAGAUACCCGUGUAGUC
rnacentral:rRNA from 1 species